ACGAACGCUGGCGGCGUGCUUAACACAUGCAAGUCGAACGGUAAGGCCCUUUCGGGGGUACACGAGUGGCGAACGGGUGAGUAACACGUGGGUAAUCUGCCCUGCACUUCGAGAUAAGCCUGGGAAACCGGGUCUAAUACCGGAUAUGAGCUCCUGCCGCAUGGUGGGGGUUGGAAAGUUUUUCGGUGCAGGAUGAGUCCGCGGCCUAUCAGCUUGUUGGUGGGGUAAUGGCCUACCAAGGCGACGACGGGUAGCCG
rnacentral:rRNA from 1 species